UCGAAAACAAAACACGUACCACUUUGUCCUGAGUUCAAUACCACUUUUUGACUUAAUCUGAAAUUGAAUAGGUAUAAUUCAUUUUAGGGUGAUUAGUUAACAAUUUUUAGAUACACUUCCUAGUGGUAAAUGUCAUGGUUGUUUCACCAUGGUCAUGGACCAAGGAACAGAGGAAUACAAACUUUGCAUGGGCUACAUGUAACUUUUCAAAACACAUUUUCUUUCUUUCUUUUUUGUAGAUCUUUUUUACUAUCUGGAGCACCACAGGUUAUCUGUGUAAUCAAAGUAACAGGUUUGAUAAGAUAUAAAAACUUCUUUUGCAUGUGUGGGUCUGUGUUUAUAUCUUCGCACUACACAUGAAUCCGACUCGGUU
rnacentral:lncRNA from 1 species